UCGGGUUGUAAAGCACUUUUGUCCGGAAAGAAAACUUCGGGGCUAAUACCUCUGGAGGAUGACGGUACCGGAAGAAUAAGCACCGGCUAACUACGUGCCAGCAGCGCGGUAAUCGUAGGGUGCGAGCGUUAAUCGGAAUUACUGGGCGUAAAGCGUGCGCAGGCAGUCUGUUAAGACAGAUGUGAAAUCCCCGGGCUUAACCUGGGAACUGCAUUUGUGACUGGCAGGCUAGAGUAUGGCAGAGGGGGGUAGAAUUCCACGUGUAGCAGUGAAAUGCGUAGAGAUGUGGAGGAAUACCGAUGGCGAAGGCAGCCCCCUGGGCCAAUACUGACGCUCAUGCACGAAAGCGUGGGGAGCAAACAGGAUUAGAUACCCUGGUAGUCCACGCCCUAAACGAUGUCAACUAGUUGUUGGGGAUUCAUUUCCUUAGUAACGUAGCUAACGCGUGAAGUUGACCGCCUGGGGAGUACGGUCGCAAGAUUAAAACUCAAAGGAAUUGACGGGGACCCGCACAAGCGGUGGAUGAUGGUGGAUUAAUUCGAUGCAACGCGAAAAACCUUACCUACCCUUGACAUGGUCGGAACCCUGGUG
rnacentral:rRNA from 1 species